AGCCGUUGCAAUAACAUGAAACCUCGGUAGCAUAAAACCUCUCACUGUCCUGCUUGAGAUCUCAACCAUGAAAAUCUACUACUACAUUGCUGUACUUUCUGGGAUGUUCUUUGUUUCUCAAGGUCAAACCAAUUUUAUAGAAACUCGUGAACAGUGCGAAGCCGCUGGAGGUUGGUGCCAGGAAGGCCCAUGCGAUAUUGGACCCAUGGAAAAGGGAAUGUGUGACAAAUGGGUUUUCUGCUGUUCAGGGAACUACAGAAAGUGAAGUUGGCACCUCAUCAACCAUUAUGUUCUCAUGCGCAUGAUGAUCCACUGCCAUUUAGCCUUCAGAAGAUGUAACCAUGGGACUGGGAUCCUACAUUGUU